CCUACGGGAGGCAGCAGUGAGGAAUAUUGGUCAAUGGCCGGAAGGCUGAACCAGCCAAGUCGCGUGAGGGAAUAAGGCCCUAUGGGUCGUAAACCUCUUUUGUCAGGGAGCAAAGGCGUCCACGAGUGGACGAAAGGAGAUUACCUGAAGAAAAAGAAUCGGCUAACGCCGUGCCAGCAGCCGCGGUAAUACGGAGGAUGCGAGCGUUAUCCGGAUUUAUUGGGUUUAAAGGGUGCGUAGGCGGAGUGUCAAGUCAGCGGUAAAAAUUCGGGGCUCAACCCCGUCGUGCCGUUGAAACUGAUGUUCUGGAGUGGGCGAGAAGUAUGCGGAAUGCGUGGUGUAGCGGUGAAAUGCAUAGAUAUCACGCAGAACUCCGAUUGCGAAGGCAGCAUACCGGCGCCCAACUGACGCUGAAGCACGAAAGCGUGGGUAUCGAACAGGAUUAGAUACCCUUGUAGUC
rnacentral:rRNA from 1 species